UGCGGCUGGAUCCCCUCCUUUCUAUAUCUUUCCAACGAAAGAAAUAGAGUCGAGACUUGGUUGUCUGGGGCGUUUAUCCGCUCGCGCAUUUAUGUAGAUUUCGCCGGGCCUUUAUUUAGGACCCGUAGCUCAGUUGGUUAGAGCGUACCCCUGAUAAGGGUAAGGUCGGCAGUUCGACUCUGCCCGGGUCCAGAUUUAAUGCCUCUUUCGGGGGUGUAGCUCAGCUGGGAGAGCGCGUGCUUUGCAAGCACGAGGUCAGGGGUUCGAUCCCCCUCACCUCCAAAUUUAACCGAAGUAUCGCACCGAUUUUAAACCUGUUACUCUGGGUUCUUUCAAACCAGAGACAGUGAUUUGUCGUCUCGUUCAUUGAAAACUAAAUAAGUCUAUAACUAAAUGGGUAAAACAAACGUCAAGCAUCCCAAUUAAGGUGUAUGUACGUAAUACGAGAAACAUAUUGCUGAAAUUUCCAGGAGACUGGAAGGAUUAAGCGAUAUGGCCAAGCUACAAAGUGCAUAUAGCGGACGCCUUGGCGGACGCCGUUGAUGAAGGACGUGGUAAGCUGCGAUAAGCUGCGGGGAGGCGCAAACAGCCUUUGAUCCGCAGAUUUCCGAAUGGGGAAACCCGG
rnacentral:misc_RNA from 1 species